rnacentral:sRNA from 1 species
AAGUGAUGCAUAACGCGGACUAAUUGC